UUUGAUUAUGGCUCAGGAUGAACGCUAGCGGUAGGCCUAACACAUGCAAGUCGAGGGGCAGCACAUGAAGUAGCAAUACGGAUGGUGGCGACCGGCGCACGGGUGAGUAACGCGUAUGCAACCUGCCUACAACAGGGGAAUAACCCGUUGAAAGACGGACUAAUACCCCAUAACACAGGGAUCCCGCAUGGGAAUAUUUGUUAAAGAUUUAUCGGUUGUAGAUGGGCAUGCGUUCCAUUAGCUUGUUGGUGAGGUAACGGCUCACCAAGGCAACGAUGGAUAGGGGAACUGAGAGGUUUAUCCCCCACACUGGUACUGAGACACGGACCAGACUCCUACGGGAGGCAGCAGUGAGGAAUAUUGGUCAAUGGACGCAAGUCUGAACCAGCCACGUCGCGUGAAGGAAGACGGCCCUACGGGUUGUAAACUUCUUUUGUAAGGGAAUAAAGUGUAGUACGUGUACCAUUUUGCAUGUACCUUACGAAUAAGGAUCGGCUAACUCCGUGCCAGCAGCCGCGGUAAUACGGAGGAUCCGAGCGUUAUCCGGAUUUAUUGGGUUUAAAGGGUGCGCAGGCGGGAGAUUAAGUCGGCGGUGAAAUUUUGCAGCUCAACUGUAAAAGUGCCUUCGAAACUGGUUUCCUUGAGUGUGGAUGAAGUAGGCGGAAUUUGUGGUGUAGCGGUGAAAUGCAUAGAUAUCACGAGGAACUCCGAUUGCGCAGGCAGCUUACUAAACCAUAACUGACGCUCAGGCACGAAGGCGUGGGGAUCAAACAGGAUUAGAUACCCUGGUAGUC
rnacentral:rRNA from 1 species